rnacentral:rRNA from 1 species
ACGCACGCUGGCGGCGUGCUUAACACAUGCCAGUCGCACGGAAAGGCCCUGCUUUUGUGGGGUGCUCGAGUGGCGAACGGGUGAGUAACACGUGAGUAACCUGCCCUUGACUUUGGGAUAACUUCAGGAAACUGGGGCUAAUACCGGAUAGGAGCUCCUGCUGCAUGGUGGGGGUUGGAAAGUUUCGGCGGUUGGGGAUGGACUCGCGGCUUAUCAGCUUGUUGGUGGGGUAGUGGCUUACCAAGGCUUUGACGGGUAGCCGGCCUGAGAGGGUGACCGGCCACAUUGGGACUGAGAUACGGCCCAGACUCCUACGGGAGGCAGCGGGGGGGAAUAUUGCACAAUGGGCGGAAGCCUGAUGCAGCAACGCCGCGUGCGGGAUGACGGCCUUCGGGUUGUAAACCGCUUUCGCCUGUGACGAAGCGUGAGUGACGGUAAUGGGUAAAGAAGCACCGGCUAACUACGUG